rnacentral:pre_miRNA from 1 species
AUUCUCAGGGAAACAUUUAUGCGUCAACUACAUUAUUGAUAACAAUGGGAUGAAAUGCUUUUGCUACAUU